UCAGUUGGAUUUUUGACCACCUUUAAGCAUUUUUAAGGCUGCGUCCAAAUGCCCCAACUUGCGGUCUUGGCCACUUGAGAGCGCGUGCACGCGACAGGACGGACGAGCACAGAGUGUGUCUAAUGUCAAUGCUGCGUCCAAAUACCCCCACUUGCGGUCUUUUCACAUGACCACUUGACUACUUUCAUGACGGAUUUCCUGUUUUUGCCCCUAGUGUUCAAGUGGGCGUGAAGAUCACAAAAUUCAGUCUGUCGUUGCUGACAUUGGCCUGAGUGAGGUUAAUAGCCCCAUGAAAUCAUCUCUCAUCUUUGAAAUGCAGCUGUCAUAGUGCGUUUCAUUGUCAUCUCUCCCAACACUGCGAAACAUUACAUCUACAGGCAGACGAGGGAUCCUUCCAAACAUCAGGGGCAGCUCAAAGUUUGUGCAUGAAAGCCUCCCCUUUCUGAAGAGUUAUAAAAGAGACACUGAAACACUGAAACCAGAUCUUUCCUCUCCUGACCGAACAUGGAUCUGCACAUCACCAUUGCACUUCUCUUCAUACUCAUCACUGGAGGACACUCUCUCAAGUGUUAUUCGUGCACAUCUGAUCUGAAUGGUGUUUGUGAUGCAAAAGAGGAGACGUGUGGUGAUGGAUUCUCAAAAUGUUUCACUGGAACAGUGACAACUUCUCUCGGUUCUUAUACAACAAAAUCAUGCUCAAAGGCGAACGAAAUCUGUGUAACUCAAAACACAGAUACUGCAGUAGGGAAAGUUUCUUCUCGGUGCUGUGAUACAGAUCUUUGCAAUGGCGCAGAUGGAGUCUUUAAGGGCAGUUUUCUUCUCCUGCUGUGUCCACUGUUCUUCUACACUCUGUUACACUGAAUUCAGCACAACUUCAGAUUCUACAAGAACACAAGCAACAACCACAAGAAUGUUACACAGUUUACAAAAUAGUUGACUAAAUUAAACUUAAUGAUUGCUGUGGUUUGUAUUUUACUGAUCAGAAUGGUGUAUCAAUUAUUCCCUAAUUAUUCAAAUGCUAAUUUUGUUUUUGUGGAUUUGUAAAAGAUUCUGAUGUUUGAAAAGCUUAUAGAAAUAUCAUGUACAACAUGUACAAGACAUGAUAAAUGAUAAAUAUUAUUCAAAAAGAUGUUAAGUUUGAAAUCAUGUUUGAUUCCCGUAGUCACAUGAAAAAAAAAACGGAAUUUCCACUUUAACCUCCAAUAUUGCUUUAUUGCUAUAUUUUUGCACCCUGGCUUUUUAAAACUAAGCAAACCAAAAAGUGACAUUGCCAAACCCAGCAUGUAAUAAAGUAGAGAGCAUAAA